UACGUAGGGACCAAGCGUUGUUCGGAUUUACUGGGCGUAAAGGGCGCGUAGGCGGCCACCGCAAGUCGGUUGUGAAAUCUCUGGGCUUAACCCAGAAAGGUCAACCGAUACUGCGGGGCUAGAGUGCAGAAGGGGCAACUGGAAUUCUCGGUGUAGCGGUGAAAUGCGUAGAUAUCGGAAGGAACAUCAGUGGCGAAAGCGGCUUCCUGGACCAGCACCGACGUCAGGCACGAAAGCGUGGGGAGCAAACAGG
rnacentral:rRNA from 1 species